UUGAAGAGCGUAUGUUGAAUGGUAUAAAGGAAAUUUUUUUGCGCGCCUUCUGCACCCACGGACACAGUCCAAGGUCGCAAGCCAUUUCGAAAGGAAAACCGGAGUGGUCGUGGAGUGGCGGAUAUUAAGAACCGGAAUUAUCCCACCCCUCCGCACUCUUCUUAUAUUUAUGCGCGUUACGACCUAUCAGCCUUCUACCUUGCUUUCGAAGCAAGCAGUUUUUAAGCGAGCGCCGGUCGAUCCACUCCUUUUACGCUCGGACGAAGCUUCGUGCAAAAUCGAUUCUCGCAUUUAAAGGAGACAGCGGUGUCAUCUUCAAAGUUACCAAGCUACCUGGAUUUAACUGGAAAGGCACGAAGAAAAUUUCGACUUUGUUCGGCUUUCGGGACGAGUCUGGGAUCGAGCCGAUAUCGAGGAUGAUUUUAUUGGCGAGGGUGUUUUAAAGAUGGCCGUUUCUAUAGCAAUGGCCGGUGAUAUCGUGGGGAUCUGGAGCAUUGGGGCAUCAGCGAACAAAACCUUCUUUUGCAUACAGUUGGCUUAGGGUGCUCGUAUGGCCGUUUAAAAUGGAGGAAACGAUGAUUACUUUAAACUCGUUGAGCGAAUGAACGUAAAAUCUUUAUAAUUAUGGUCGUCGGACUCAUGCUUUGAUCUUUGAUAUGGUACAUUCAGAAACAAAGAAGAAGAAAAGCCUAUGGCGCCAAUGGAUUUCAAGCCAUAGGAAAGACGUGUACGGCACGACAAGGGAUCACUCGGAGUGGAGGGUGAAUCACCGGGAGUUUAUUGGCCACGACGCUCUGUAGCGGAGGACUCGUCGGGGCGGGAAAGCAAUUACGUAAUCAAGUAAUUAGUCCCUGACCUCGGGUAACAGGUUCCGCCUUGCUAUUCAACCGACCUGACUUCCUCUCGAGACUCUUUCGAUUUUUUUCUUUUUUACUUCGGUAUGGAUCUUCCGAAGGGAAUCUAAGAAUGACGAUCUUGGCUAUGUUUAAUCAUUGUUAUUAAUUAAAACGAUAGAUAGUUUUUUCUUUACCUUACAUUUUGUCAUUUGAUCUCUCUGAUGAAUAUACCUCGAUUAAUUCAUUAUCUUUUCUCUUUCAAAUUGCUACUUGGAAAACAAAGAAAAUAAGAAAUUGGAAACACA